CAUUAUAUCUCUAAACUCCUCUUUUCCAUGUAAAAAUUCCCAAAUUCGUGUUCAUCGGAAUAAGCCAAGCCCUUUCUGUACAUACUAGUGUUGUUUCCUAACACCCUCUCUCAAGUUUCUCAAUUUCUUCCGAUGAAUUUCAUUGAGAAUUUAUGGUCCUUACUCUACCUUGAAGGUAUCAAAAAAAGAGGUGUAGUUUUCUCUGAACAAAGAUUCAAACUUUCCCACGACAUCGGAAACCAUGGCCAGAACAAGCUAUAGAGGUGCCAAUUUAGAGAGAUGCCGAGAUGAACCAGUCGCACUUGUCCUCAAAACCAUCGCCAUUGCGUCGAUCCUCAUCACUAGAUCCAUCGGAAUCUCAAUCCCCAUUGUUGGAAAGAACAGCCACUUCCUCCGAACUUACAGCAAUCUCUUCAUAUUCGCCAAGGCAUUCGCUGUUAGCAUCAUCCUUACCACAGGGUUCGUACACAUGCUCCCAGUCGGAUUGGUAAGACUCAUGACUUAGGGUUUGUUUUCGUGAGUUUGGGUUAAGGUUUUCGUGAAGGAAGAAUGAGAGACCUAGGAAGGAGAGAUAUGGAAGGAGAGAGAGAGUGAUUUAUGCAUACUAGACUCAUCGGGGAGAGAGAAAAGAGAAAGAGGGGGGAACGAAUCCCCUAAAGUGCAGAGAGGUAAUGUAUUCACCAACUCCU